GGGUGGCGAGUGAGGCCGGGUCACAGGCCAAGGCCAGUGCACUAACCCGAGUGAUGACUGCUCACCU
rnacentral:miRNA from 1 species